GCCUGGGUGGCUCAGUCAGUUAAGCAUCUGACUUCGGCUCAGGUCAUGAUCUCACAGCUCGUGGGUUCGAGUCCCCCGUNAGGCU
rfam:Felis catus breed Abyssinian Contig178199.1, whole genome shotgun sequence. [26-MAY-2016]